rnacentral:tRNA from 7 species
GCGGGUGUAGUUCAAUGGUAGAACUUCAGCUUCCCAAGCUGAGAGCGCGGGUUCGAUUCCCGUCACCCGCUCCA